CCUACGGGCGGCAGCAGUGGGGAAUAUUGCACAAUGGGGGAAACCCUGAUGCAGCGACGCCGCGUGAGUGAAGAAGUAUUUCGGUAUGUAAAGCUCUGUCAGCAGGGAAGAAAAUGACGGUACCUGACCAAGAAGCCCCGGCUAACUACGUGCCAGCGGCCGCGGUAAUACGUAGGGGGCAAGCGUUAUCCGGAUUUACUGGGAGUAAAGGGAGCGUAGACGGCAGGGCAAGUCUGGAGUGAAAGGCGCGGGCUCAACCCCAGGGCUGCUCUGGAAACUGCCAGGCUGGAGUGCAGGAGAGGUGAAUGGAAUUCCUAGUGUAGCGGUGAAAUGCGUAGAGAUUAGGAGGAACACCAGUGGCGAAGGCGACUUACUGGACUGUAACUGACGUUGAGGCUCGAAAGCGUGGGGAGCAAACAGGAUUAGAUACCCCAGUAGUC
rnacentral:rRNA from 1 species